rnacentral:rRNA from 1 species
GUGGGGAAUUUUGGACAAUGGGCGCAAGCCUGAUCCAGCAAUGCCGCGUGCAGGAAGAAGGCCUUCGGGUUGUAAACUGCUUUUGUACGGAACGAAACGGUCCGGGUUAAUACCCUGGGCUAAUGACGGUACCGUAAGAAUAAGCACCGGCUAACUACGUGCCAGCAGCCGCGGUAAUACGUAGGGUGCAAGCGUUAAUCGGAAUUACUGGGCGUAAAGCGUGCGCAGGCGGGUUUGUAAGACAGGCGUGAAAUCCCCGGGCUCAACCUGGGAAUUGCGCUUGUGACUGCAAGGCUGGAGUGCGGCAGAGGGGGAUGGAAUUCCGGGUGUAGCAGUGAAAUGCGUAGAUAUGCGGAGGAACACCGAUGGCGAAGGCAAUCCCCUGGGCCUGCACUGACGCUCAUGCACGAAAGCGUGGGGAGCAAACAGGAUUAGAUACCCCAGUAGUCC